UUCCACCAAUGUUCCAGUUUCAUUUCGGCUUCUCGGCGCCUGACCCCACUUUCCUCUCUUCCUUUGAUUCUCGACUUUGCGUCCCUUCCCCUCUCCCUCCCCUUUCCCUCGGCCUCUAGCUGCUGCUGGUGAAGGACAGCCUCCUCUGCGUCUUCCCAAAGUGAUUGGAAAGUCGAACAAAGGAUUCGAAGCCGUGCUUUCGUUGUGUUUUUAUUUUCAGCAUAUUUUUGUUUUGGAAAUUACUUUAUUUUGUUUUAAAUGGUUACCUUCAGUUUUGUGUACAACGCCUUGGAAACAAGAAAGUCGAGUUAAAAAGACGUGAGGUAGAGCUCCUCCCAGUCGACAAGUUUUUGUCAAACAUUUCAUCCAUUAAGGGGUCCUCAAGUCCUUGUGUUAAGUCCUAUGGAUGGGAGGGGGAGAGGGUGAGGACUCUCCUGCUUACAGUGCAGUACACAAGCUAACACCCAAUGAAUCAAUUAUUUCAUUUCAUUUUUCUGUUUCUCACGGUGCCGUUGAUUUCUGCAGAGACAGUGUUAACAAUUCCAGUUUCAUUUAGGAGUGCCCUGCGGCAGUGCGUCUCAAACUUCUUUCAGCCUUCACUGCAAAGGAGAGUGAUUCUGGAUCGCUGGGGACACUGCUUGAAGCAGUUAAAAACAUGAAAUCCCUUUUCAUAGGCAACCAAUAUUAUCGAUGUUUUUGGUGUGUAUUCUGGAGAUAACAGUUUUUUCCUUUGAAAGCACAUGUAUAAAUGAUAUACGUGUAUAUUUAUAUACAUAUAUGUAUGUAUAUGCCUCCAGCUGAUGAGUGUUUAAUGAUCUCCAUCCCCCACCAAACCUCUAAGUAAAAUGGACACUUUAGGAAUGCACGAUGCUUAGCUGGUGUCUUUUGCGUGCUUCCUAACACAGAACUUCAGGUAUAGUCAUAUCUUCGUUUAAGAUGCACAAUUAAAGAAAUGCAUUUGAUCUAGGUUUAAUACAUUUUUGGGGAGGCAAGGCGAGAUGUUUGCCUCGGACUUCAAGUCACAUCCCCUUGAUCUGAUUACACUUAGAUUUAUUUAUGUAGCACAGUAACUUGAUGUCAGUAGUCGUGAGGAGUGAAUUUUGAUAAUAAAGCUUUUAAUCCUUAAAAGACAUUGACAUUUAUGUUAGUUAUAUCUCUGUUUAUUUCUUGUUUUGUUUUCUUUUUCUCAUGAUCUCUCUUUUGGAGCUGCCCUUUCUGAAAAGGCAGGUAUCAUCAAAUCCAUUCUCAGUUCUAAUGUUACCUGGCUGUUUUCCCCAGUAUGCCUCUGGAUUUAAGAUGUGCACAAAUUAAUUUUUAAGUACGCUUCUGCUUUUCCUUUUGUUCUUGUUUUUUUUUUUAAAUUUUAUAAUUUAGAUUUUAGGUCUUCACUGCCUCUUAUGCUUUUCUUAAUAGUGUAUGUUUAACUUCCGGAUAUAAAUUCUCAGAAAUAAAACAUGAUCCGUUGGUUGA